GGCACCCUGAUCCAGCCAUGCCGCGUGUGUGAAGAAGGCCCUCGGGUUGUAAAGCACUUUCAGCGAGGAAGAACGCCUAGCGGUUAAUACCCGCUAGGAAAGACAUCACUCGCAGAAGAAGCACCGGCUAACUCCGUGCCAGCAGCCGCGGUAAUACGGAGGGUGCAAGCGUUAAUCGGAAUUACUGGGCGUAAAGCGCGCGUAGGUGGCUUGAUAAGCCGGUUGUGAAAGCCCCGGGCUCAACCUGGGAACGGCAUCCGGAACUGUCAAGCUAGAGUGCAGGAGAGGAAGGUAGAAUUCCCGGUGUAGCGGUGAAAUGCGUAGAGAUCGGGAGGAAUACCAGUGGCGAAGGCGGCCUUCUGGACUGACACUGACACUGAGGUGCGAAAGCGUGGGUAGCAAACAGGAUUAGAUACCCUGGUAGUCCACGCCGUAAACGAUGUCGACCAGCCGUUGGGUGCCUAGCGCACUUUGUGGCGAAGUUAACGCGAUAAGUCGACCGCCUGGGGAGUACGGCCGCAAGGUUAAAACUCAAAUGAAUUGACGGGGGCCCGCACAAGCGGUGGAGCAUGUGGUUUAAUUCGAUGCAACGCGAAGAACCUUACCUACUCUUGACAUCCUGCGAAUUUGGUAGAGAUACCUUAGUGCCUUCGGGAACGCAGAGACAGGUGCUGCAUGGCUGUCGUCAGCUCGUGUUGUGAAAUGUUGGGUUAAGUCCCG
rnacentral:rRNA from 1 species